rnacentral:rRNA from 1 species
GACGAACGCUGGCGGCGUGCUUAACACAUGCAAGUCGAACGGAAAGGCACUGCGAGUGUGGGGUGCUGGAGUGGCGAACGGGGGAGUAACACGUGAGAAACCUGACCUAGACUUUGGGGUAACUUCAGGAAACUGGGGCUAAUACCGGAUAGGAGCUCAUGCAGCAGGGUGGGGGUUGGAAAGUUUCGGCGGUGGGGGAUGGACUCGCGGCUGAUCGGCUAGUUGGUGGGGGAGUCGCUUACCAAGGAUUGGGCGGGUAGCCGGCCUGAGGGGGUGACCGGCCACAUUGGGCCUGAGGUACGGCCCAGUCUCCUACGGGGGGCAGCAGUGGGGAAUCUUGCACAGCGGGCCCAAGCCUGUUGCGGCACCGCCCCGUUCGUGAUGAAGGCCUUCGGGUUGUGAACCGCUUUCGCCUGUGACGAAGCGUUAGUGACGGUAACCGGUGAAGAAGCACCGGCUAACUACGUG